UGCCAGCAGCCGCGGUAACACGAACCGGGCAAACGUUAUUCGGAAUUACUGGGCUUAAAGGGUGCGUAGGCGGCGCUAUAAGUCGGGUGUGAAAUCCCACGGCUCAACCGUGGAACUGCGCCCGAUACUGUAGUGCUUGAGGAAGAUAGAGGUGAGCGGAACGAAUGGUGGAGCGGUGAAAUGCGUUGAUAUCAUUCGGAACACCCGUGGCGAAAGCGGCUCACUGGGUCUUUUCUGACGCUGAGGCACGAAAGCUAGGGGAGCGAACGGGAUUAGAUA
rnacentral:rRNA from 1 species